UACGGGGGGGGCAAGCGUUGUUCGGAAUGACUGGGCGUAAAGGGCGCGUAGGCGGCGGACACAGUCAGAUGUGAAAUUCCCGGGCUCAACCUGGGGGCUGCAUUUGAUACGUGUUUGCUUGAGUGGGGAAGAGGGUCGUGGAAUUCCCAGUGUAGAGGUGAAAUUCGUAGAUAUUGGGAAGAACACCGGUGGCGAAGGCGGCGACCUGGUCCUUGACUGACGCUGAGGCGCGAAAGCGUGGGGAGCAAACAGG
rnacentral:rRNA from 1 species